rnacentral:rRNA from 1 species
UAGGGAAUCUUCCACAAUGGACGCAAGUCUGAUGGAGCAACGCCGCGUGAGUGAAGAAGGUCUUCGGAUCGUAAAGCUCUGUUGUUGGUGAAGAAGGAUAGAGGCAGUAACUGGUCUUUAUUUGACGGUAAUCAACCAGAAAGUCACGGCUAACUACGUGCCAGCAGCCGCGGUAAUACGUAGGUGGCAAGCGUUGUCCGGAUUUAUUGGGCGUAAAGCGAGUGCAGGCGGAAUGAUAAGUCUGAUGUGAAAGCCCACGGCUCAACCGUGGAACUGCAUCGG